rnacentral:lncRNA from 1 species
UAUUUGAUUUUAGUUUUAAAUAAUAAUAAUUUAAAUAUAUUUUUAAACUUUUAAGAUAUGUGAUUGAAUAACAACUAUUAUUUUUGGCACCAUGUUUUAUUGUUGCUUUAUCUACAUUGAGAUAAAACUGCAAAGAAAAUAUUUUUAAAAAAAUUGUAUUAAAUUAUCUUUAUAUCUUUAUUUUGAUAAUUAAUUUUUUAUUAUAAACUUAUUGUCAUAUGUCUUGUCUUCAUAUAGUCUUAAGUAAAUAAGUUGAAUCAAAUCUUCUAAUGUCAAACCUAAUUUCUUUUGUUUUAAAAAUACCACUUUACUUCUAAAUAGAUUACAAAUUGAUGAUCAAAUAUAAAUAUGAGAAAAAUGUAUAUUUAGAUAUAUAAAAUCUAUAAAUUCUUUAUAGUAGAAACUCUUUAAAUGCCUUUAUAUGGUGACUUAUUAUUAAAAAAAUCAGAUUUACUUCUGAUUUUAGAUUGAUUUGUUCUUUUAUCUAUUUGACUCUUUUGUAAUAGAAGCAUCCAAAUCUCUAAAUUUAGAAAAAAAUCUUAAUAUAUAUUUAUAUAUACACACAUAUGAUCUAUGGAAUUUUAUUUUUUAUUUUUUUGCAAUUUUUGUCUCAUUUAAUGAUGUUAUCUUGUGUGUUUUUUCUUUUUUCCUUUGUUCUUUAAUUGUGCAUAUUUGUGUUGCUUUCUCCCAUUAUUUUUCUAUUUUCUUUCUUUUAAUCAAUAUUGUCCAACUUCUCAAAUAUUUAUAGAAUAAUAUGCGUCUUCAGAGACACAAUCACUUUUAUUAUGGAUAAUAUGUUCUUUUGUCUUAUCUUCACUUUUUUGGCAUUUUUGUUCAAUUUGAGUGUAUAUCCAUUUUGCUUGUUGUCUAAUUGCACAACAAAAGCACAAAGAUAUAACAUUUUUUAAAUUAUUUAUUUGCAUAUUAAGAAAUCACUUAGUUUCCUCAGGUGUUUGUUUGCCUUGUGCAAGACCUUAACAAUUAAUGAACUCAAAAUAUUAUUAUCGUUCUUAUUAACUUUUUUGCUUCAUCACAUAUCAUUGCAAUUAUUCUGCAAUUGAUUAAUGAUUUUGUUAAGUAUUUCUAAAAUUAUUCCAGUCUUUCAAGUUUAUAAACAUAGUAUAGAAUUUCAAAAGAUGACUUUUGUGUAUGUACUUCCUGUUCUUUUUUUGAAAGAAUAAGCAAAUGUUUGGAUUGUUUGGGUAAAUCUUUUGUCAAUAACAUAGAUCUAUUGUUGUUUAAAUCAAUAACCUAUUUUAUGAUUUAUUGUUCAUGUUUAACAUAUGCAAGAUCUAUGCAUAAUAAGUGGAAAAUGGUAACAAAAUAUUAUAUUUUAAAACAUUACAUAACAAUAAUUUCAAUUAAUGAGAAACAUGAUUUAUAAAUUGGCAUCACUAUGUCCCAUAUUAUCAGCUACCAUAUCUUGGAAUAAAUUUACUUUAAAUUUAUUACAUAUAUCAUCAUUAAAUAUCACAAUCUUUAAUUUACAAUAUAUAUAUAUAUAUAUAUAUAUAUAUAUGAUAGAAUGUAUUAUUUAUACCUUUAAAACAUCUCAAAAGACAUAACAUAAAUUAUAAGCUUUUUUAGUCAAUAUUAUUCUUCAAUGUAUUGAGUAUAUUAUUCUUAAUUUUACUUUGAUGCUUAAAAAGUUAUAUAUAUAUAUAUAUAUAUAUAUAUAGACAUAGAAGAUUUUUUAUAAUAUUUAUUAAAAUUCUAAAAAUUCUAAAUGAUGUUGUGGUUUUAAAAUGUAUACUGAAAAUGAUUUUCUUUGCAUUAUUAUCAAUUUGAAUAAUUUUAUUUUUUGAGAUAAGUGGAAAAUGCAUAGUUUGAGAACCAAAUUGGAUGAUGUUAUUGUUAAAUUUAAUCUUUACAUAGUACUAUUCAUAAAUUAAAUCCAAUUUAUAUACUGAUAUCUUUAUUUAACUUUUAUUCACUUUAUAAUAAUUCAUAUAUGUGCAGAUAGUUUAAAUAAGCUUGCUUCUAUGUCCAAGUUUUUAAAAACAUUUCGUCUUAGUAAAUUAAAUAUCUGAUUUAAUAAGCUCAAUAAUAUAAUUUUAAAUGGUAAUAACAAUUUAUUAACCGUACUGAUAAUCCUAUUAAAUAUUUACACAAUCCAGUUUAAUCAUUCAUCUCGUUGAAAUUAUUUCAUGAUGAGCAAUUUUAUUAAAAAAUUGCAAUUGACGUCGAAAUCUACAUUGAAACAUAUCUCGUUUUUUUAUGUAUCUUAAUU